UCUUCCGCAAUGGACGAAAGUCUGACGGAGCAACGCCGCGUGGGUGAAGAAGGCCUUCGGGUCGUAAAACUCUGUUGCCGGGGAAGAACAAGUGCUGUUCGAACAGGGCGGCGCCUUGACGGUACCCGGCCAGAAAGCCACAGCUAACUACGAGCCAGCAGCCGCGGUAAUACGGAGGUGGCAAGCGUUGUCCGGAAUUAUUGGGCAUAAAGCGCGCGCAGGAGGCUUCUUAAGUCUGAUGUGAAAUCUUGCGGCUCAACCGCAAGCGGUCAUUGGAAACUGGGAGGCUUGAGUGCAGAAGAGGAGAGUGGAAUUCCACGUGUAGCGGUGAAAUGCGUAGAGAUGUGGAGGAACACCAGUGGCGAAGGCGGCUCUCUGGUCUGUAACUGACGCUGAGGCGCGAAAGCGUGGGGAGCAAACAGG
rnacentral:rRNA from 1 species